rnacentral:rRNA from 1 species
UUAAAGGUACCCGUACCGCAAACCGACACAGGUGGGUGAGGAGAGUAUCCUAAGGCCCGCGAGAGAACUGUUGUUAAGGAACUCGGCAAAAUGACCCCGUAACUUAGGGCUAAGGGGUGCCACCAUCUGGUGGCCGCAGAGAAUAGGCCCAAGCGACUGUUUACCAAAAACAUAGGUUUCUGCUAAGUCGCAAGACGAUGUAUAGGAGCUGACGCCUGCCCGGUGCUGGAAGGUUAA